CGCCGCUCCGUCGGAGAACUCAACAUCUGCAGCAGAUCCGGUAGUGCCCCGCCGCCCCGAAUCAUCGUAGCGCGUCUCCCCCGACCCCCUGCAUCGACCCCGAUGGCGCAGCAUAUCUAAAGGAAUAUGCUCGCCUCCCUCUCAGCUCCAACCUCCCAUGGAUCCGCUGCAUCCAGGUGGACGGAUCCAACUCCGGCGAGCUACCAAGUACCUGCGGCGAGCAACUACCUAAAUCCGCCGGUGUUCUUCCCAGAAGAACCACCAUCCGCUGACAAUUCCUCUGCAAAUUGGGGUGCUGGUGAAAAGACGCGAGGUGAGGAGAGCUAUGCACAACCAUAUGUUGCGACAAAAUGGAGGAAUGAAUUCAGAUGCCGGGCACAACUCAACCGCUGCAAUGUAUGAUGAUGAUCAAGAGGACGAUGAGAUUUCAUCUCAGCCGCUUAUGCCCUAUGUUGGCAUGGAAUUUGACUCUAUUGAUGAUGCCAGAGAAUUUUACAAUGAAUAUGCCUUCAAGAUGGGCUUUGGCGCACGCAUUUGCGCUUCUAAAAAAGCCAAAAGAAAGGUCCUCCGACACUUAUCAAGAAGGUUUUCCAGUGUGUGCACGCAGGGAAGCCAGAAAGUAAAGGGGACAGUAGCACUGCUUUUGAAGUGAUCUCAAUGGGAGGAGCUUCGUCUAGCACACAGAAUUGGUUUGAAGUGGAUGUUGGCAACAAGCGUCAAAAGAAUCGGCUGUUGCGACAUGAUUGCAAAGCUCACUUGAUUGUUGGGGUCAGAGGCAAUAAAUGGGAUGUAUCACAUUUUGUUGCAGAGCAUACGCACCCUCUAAUGCCACAGCCGGAGCUUGUACGCUACUACCGCUCACACCGCAAAAUCCUGGAAGAAGAUAAGGAUCUCAUAAUGACUAUGCAUGAUGUGAACUUCUCAACUUCGUCGUGCAUGGGAAUGCUUGGAAGGGUGCGUGGCGGAGACUGCAGGACACUACCAUAUGUCAAGAGGGAUGUUUCAAACUUUCGGUCCAAUCUGUGACAAAACCUAAACCUCCGAGACAUGGAUUUCACAAUUCAGUACUUUGAAAGGCGGCAAGCUGAGAA